rnacentral:rRNA from 1 species
AGCUACUGUAUAUCACCCUGCAGCUCUCAACUGGCUACUCACUAAAGGUAAGCGGGGUUGAGCCUGGUCAGUACCUGGAUGGGAGACCUCCUGGGAAGCUAUGGUUGUCUUUC